rnacentral:rRNA from 1 species
UACGUAGGGUCCGAGCGUUGUCCGGAAUUACUGGGCGUAAAGGGCGCGUAGGUGGUGGCUUAAGCGUGCGGUGAAAGCUCGGGGCUCAACUCCGAGUCGGCCGUGCGAACUGGGCUCACUGGAGCAUAGUAGAGGCAGGUGGAAUUCCGGGUGUAGCGGUGGAAUGCGCAGAUAUCAGGAGGAACACCGGUGGCGAAGGCGGGUCUCUGGGCAGUAACUGACGCUGAGGAGCGAAAGCGUGGGGAGCGAACAGG